rnacentral:rRNA from 1 species
GGUGGCGAGUGGCGAACGGGUGAGUAAUACAUCGGAACGUGCCCUGUAGUGGGGGAUAACUAGUCGAAAGACUAGCUAAUACCGCAUACGACCUGAGGGUGAAAGUGGGGGACCGCAAGGCCUCAUGCUAUAGGAGCGGCCGAUGUCUGAUUAGCUAGUUGGUGGGGUAAAGGCCUACCAAGGCGACGAUCAGUAGCUGGUCUGAGAGGACGAUCAGCCACACUGGGACUGAGACACGGCCCAGACUCCUACGGGAGGCAGCAGUGGGGAAUUUUGGACAAUGGGGGCAACCCUGAUCCAGCAAUGCCGCGUGUGUGAAGAAGGCCUUCGGGUUGUAAAGCACUUUUGUCCGGGAAGAAAUCGCACCUGAUAAUACCGGGUGUGGAUGACGGUACCGGAAGAAUAAGGACCGGCUAACUACGUGCCAGCAGCCGCGGUAAUACGUAGGGUCCAAGCGUUAAUCGGAAUUACUGGGCGUAAAGCGUGCGCAGGCGGUUGUGCAAGACCGAUGUGAAAUCCCCGGGCUUAACCUGGGAAUUGCAUUGGUGACUGCACGGCUAGAGUGUGUCAGAGGGGGGUAGAAUUCCACGUGUAGCAGUGAAAUGCGUAGAGAUGUGGAGGAAUACCGAUGGCGAAGGCAGCCCCCUGGGAUAACACUGACGCUCAUGCACGAAAGCGUGGGGAGCAAGCAGGAUUAGAUACCCUGGUAGUCCACGCCCUAAACGAUGUCAACUAGUUGUUGGGGAUUCAUUUCCUUAGUAACGUAGCUAACGCGUGAAGUUGACCGCCUGGGGAGUACGGUCGCAAGAUUAAAACUCAAAGGAAUUGACGGGGACCCGCACAAGCGGUGGAUGAUGUGGAUUAAUUCGAUGCAACGCGAAAAACCUUACCUACCCUUGA